rnacentral:rRNA from 1 species
UUCUUACAGACUCAAUAAUUAUAAGUAAAACCUGCUCAAUGAUGUAUAAAUAGCCGCAGUUUUCCUGUGCUAAGGUAGCGUAAUCAUUUGCUUUCUAAUUAAAAGAUAGAAUGAAAGGUUAAACGAUAAAAAACUUUUUAGUUUAAAUAAAUAAAUUUAGCAUUAAUGUUAAAAUACACUAAUAAAUAAAUAAGACGACAAGACCCUAAUAAACUAAUUUUUUAGUUGGGGCAACACAAUAAAUAAAUUUUAUCUUUAUAUAAAAAUAUAACUUUCAUAAAAUAUAAAAUAGUUACUAUAGGGAUAACAGCGCAAUUUCUUUUAAGAGUUCACAUCCAAAAAGAAUAUUACGACCUCGAUGUUGAAUUAAUUUUAACUAUAAAAUGAAAAAGUUUUAAUAAGUAAGUCUGUUCGACUAUCAAAACAUU